rnacentral:lncRNA from 1 species
AUCCAACACAAUUAUGAUUUGUUUUGCUGCUCAAAUGGCUCUAGCUCAGUACCAUUGGCUUAUUUCUACACACCUUCAUCCUUUAAAAAACAAUUUAUUUAAAUUUUUUUUUUCCUCCCUCUAAUUGUACUCUAAAAGCAUGUCUGUUUCUGUUGGGUAGGUAGGGGGAGGUGGAUGUAGGGUUGGAAAGAGUCUAAAGUGGAAAGAGGCUGAAGUGUCCUGUUGGGUCUUGCGGCCUUCCAGGACUUCCUUGGGGUGGAAGGAACCUUGGACACAGGGCAGCUGAGUGCCCUGAGUCAUGUGGUUGUUGCUGUUUAAAUUAUUUGCUGUGAGCAGGGUCCUGAGUGUUGCCUUGAUUCCAGCUGUGGACAACAACAGGCCUAACACGUCAUCUCAAUGUCUCUGGAAUUAAUACCUGAUAGAAGAGAGAGGAAUCCCAGCUUCUCAUUUCCAGUCCAGUACUAUUUCUGUGUUCUCGAAAAAGCUUAAGGCUGACUGUGGCACUUCUGAGGAUAUACCAUCUGGUUGUCUCUCAGCUCUGUGGAUUUUGAAACACGAGGAAAGACGGAAAGAGUGGUAGCUCCUUGGGCGUGUGUAAACUUUAUGAAAGUGAUAAUUUCAUUCCUAUUUUCAUUGGGGAAGGCAGUGAUGCUGCCAAGUAAUGAGUGCUUGAUGCCUCAGAUAAAAUGGGUGUCUGUGUUAAGAAUCUCGGUGUUGAAUUGCCCUCUUGGCAUCCCAGCCCUCAGCUGCUUUCUUCUAGUGGUCACCUGAUACAUCUGGCUGAACAACUUCUAAUCCCUGUGCUCUCGUCCGUGACUAACCGGUGCUUCUCUUGCUGGCUUAGUCUUCAGGGAUCACAGGACAGCUUGGCUUCUUCCUUCCUCAGGCAAUGUACUGUUGAUGCCAGCCAUGGGGGACUUCAUGUAACGCAAUACAGACACUUGGAAUCGCUGAGUCACUUCAUAGUGAUGUCCGUGCCCGUGAAUGUGAGAGAGCAGUGUGGAAGUCAAACAGACUAUAAGGACAUUACCAGACUUUUAAGACACUCUAGGUUUUCCCACAUUUCUGUUAAAUGUUUUUCCAUGUAAUGGAUUCAGGUUAAGUCAAGAAGAAUUUUCUCAUACUAACAAUUGAGAUACGUACAUGAGAUAUUCCUUAUGCGAUUAUAUUUGUGAAAGUAGCUUAGAUCAAAUGAAUAGCCCUUCAAUUCUUUCUUGCUAUAUAGAUUCUUUUCUCUAUUAUUUUCUGUUUUGGCAGUCUAUCCAUAAUUUGAAAGAUAAAUUUAAUUGUACAGUAGUUUUAGAUGGAUAUGCCAUCAGUUUGAACUGGUGACAAAUAGUCCCAAUCUGACAGUUUAGACUCUCUCUCAAGACUAAAUGUGCAAGGCUAAGAGAAGCUCUGAUGCCCCUGGCAGGCAGAGAGCAUGGAGUGCUGGACAGGUGAGCUGUUAAACUCUCUUUCUCUAGUUGUUUAUCUUUGAGUCCUCGUUUUCUAAAAAGAAGAAUUCUAAACUUGAAUCCCGAUUGUCUAAAAAAGUUUAUUCUUUCAAAAUAUAUUUACUAAGCCAGAUUUUACUAAAUCUUCAAAAUUUGCUAUGUAUUUUAUACUUACAGCACAUCUCAAUUGAACUAGCUACAUGUUAAAUAUUGAACAGCCUCUAUGAUUAGUGGCUACUGGACUGGGCAAUGCAGGUUUACCAACACCCUGUACGUCAUCACACAAGUAAAUAUUUAGAUUAUAAUGGUAACAAGCACUUGGGGAGACUUUGGGAAUGCUGAAGGUGAGAAGUGAGGCAUGAGUUGGAGUUAGCCAGAAAGAAGGGAGAAUAUUCCAGGCAAAGGGAACGUCUGUGUCAUGACUUUGAGUUGAAAGGAGUGAAAAGGAGGCCAGUAGGCUCAAAUUUGUGAGUGACAGAAAAAUGAUGGAACUAAGAACAGAGAGAGAGAAAUCUAGUUUUAGAGGAAGAUAAAUUUGGUUUUAAGAUGUUGACUUUCAGGUGCAAAAGAUAGCGAUAUGGGAUAGGAAAAUGGGAGGGAGGAAGAACUGGAGAUUUAGCCUGCAGAGUUGAUGGAGCUGGCAAGUUACAUCUUUUGUUGAAGUCCUAACGUCUAGACUUCUUUUCAGGGGCCACUCGUUAGGUGGGCUGGAGACCACAAUGGGGAGGAAGGGGGGCAAGUUAGUUAAAUAGAUCAGGAGGGGGAAGAGGUAGAGAGUGAGUACAGACUCUGUCCUAGAGAGGGCCAAAGGUCAUGAAGGAGAGACUAAACUCAAUGGUGAAUUCUUGGGGCCAAGAGGAAAAGGAAUGGAAGGUUAAGUCAAAGAGGUAGAAGCCUGGAGAGGUGGAAUGAAGUCAGGAAGCAGGAAUAAGAAGGGGAGGCAUCAAAGUCAGCAGGUCAAAGUUGCAGGUCCUUCUAGUUGUGGGAUGUGGGACGCCGCCUCAAUGUGGCCUAACUAGUGGUGCCAUGUCCGCGCCCAGGAUCCGAACCCGGGGCCGCCGCAGCGGAAUGUAUGAACUUAACCACUCGGCCACGGAGCCAGCCCCCCAAUAGGCACUUUAAACAACUAUCACGUUACCAACACGUCUACCCACUGACGGUUUCAGAGGACAUGAGCCAGAGACUGAAGAGGCCCUCUAAGCGCCACAGUAUGCUUCUAAGCCUGCAGAGAAACCUUCCCUGUUUGGUCACUGUGGGAAACCUGCUCCAACUGUUACCUCCCAUGCUCUGACAAUCUGGCAAGCAAGGUGUCUGCUGCUCUCAGCAAAUCUUAAAGAGAUGGUGGUGACGAAAACUGAUAUUUAUCUUUCAGAUGGUGAAGUCUCUCCUCUACCUGUCACCAGGAGAAGGCAGGGCAUUCCUAGGUCACCAGGCCUUUGGUCAACAACCACUAAUUUUAAAGCUUGAAUUCUAGCAUGAUUCACUUACAGCUUGCUGUGUCCAUGCUGAGAUCCCAUGAAGAAGCCUGGUCCAUAAGCUCCCGGAAUUUGUGUUUUCCACCCUCUCACCUGGAAUGCUGAAACAGCAAAGUCUUCUCUUGGCGGCCGUGAGAGAAUGCGGCAGUUGGUGAGAUGGGCACUGAGCCUAUUUGAAGACCCACUUGCAAGCUGGGCACUGACUGCAAAUGCUGCAAUUAAAAGCAAAACAAAACAAAACCAUCCUACAGACCAAAUGCCUUUUAGCAGGGAAAAAGCUAUGCUGUGUUAAAAUAAUGGGAUGGUGUUUUUCUGCGGGGGUGAUCCUGGUUUCCAAGAAAGGGUGAUAUUUGUGAAGAUCGUAAUGUCUAUUCUCCAGGUCUUAGCUCUGAUAGUACUCUCUCCUCCUCCUCACUGAAAGUUAAGAAUGAAGGGGGCAUGAAUAAUCAGGGGUAACAAUGUACGGGAUAGAGUAAUCAUAAACGAAGACUGGAAGAGUAAUUUUUAAUCUAGGCUUGUCAAAAUAACUGUGUCUACAUUUACUGAUUAUGUUGAUUAAACAAUGAUUAAGGGUUGUGCUAAAUCAUGCUGGAACAAUGCAGACUUAAAAAAAUUUUUAGUAAAUUAAGAGAAACUGUGAUUAGGUCUUUGAUUGUAAGCCAUCCUCUUGGAUGACAGUGCAUUCAGGACUUCUGUGAAUGGGAAAGGAGAGAGAAGGGAGAGGUGGUGGAGGAGGUGGGAAGCUGCACAGGACCAGAUCAUUCAGGGCCUGAAGGUCAUUACUAGGAGGUGGGAUUGUAUUCUAAGUGUAAUAAGAAGUUGGGGGUGUGUUUUACACUGGGGAGUGUUCACAAGAUCUGAUUUGUGCUUUUAGAAGCUUACUCUGGCUGCCCUGGGGUACAGCCAUAUUGGAUCCAGAGGGAGAAUGAAGAUCCCAUUCUCAUUCUGGUCAGGUAGCUGGCGAAAGGCCUGAUUCCCAAGUGACGCUGGCAACAAAUGGAAACAACUCAGGCAUGAAAGCAGCAGGACAGCACUGUGGCAAGAGGUUUCCACCGUGCUCAUUUCUUCCCGACUUGCUAAUGCAGCCAGAAUCAAAGGAAAUCUAACAUGUAAAAAGACUAUUUUGAAGUUUUAUUUAAAGACAAGCCAUGCUUAGGAACAGGUUUGAAAAACUUAAAAAUGUGAUGAUAAAUGUCAGGCUUGCCAUGCUUAGGCGGCUGGCACGCAACUAUGCUGAACAGACUCCCAACCGAAGGUUCCCUUGCAGGCUUCUCAAUACUGCUUCUCAAGGCUAAGCCCACCCUGAAGAGGAGUCAAAAGGGACUUGGCUCCAGAAGGACCAUCUGGGGUUUGAAGUCCACCCCUCUCCCUCCCCAUUGAGGCAGACUUCCUCCACUUGUGGGCCACGCCCCUUUCAUCCAGGGGGUCGGCAUCUCUUCCCCUGUAGCCCCGCCUCUUCGAGGCGUGGAUGCACUGUGCCCUUUUGCAGUUCACUGUGCAGAUGGCAGACAGGCAGCUCAUCUCUGUCAGCUGAUUUUCAGUGUGAACUUUCUUUAUUAUGGAGAGGAGAUUUCAAGGUACAGAUUACAUGCAAUCCUUCUUAUCCUCCUUUGUUUGGAGUCAGUUAGUGAUUAAGAAGUCCCUCAUUUUGCCCCUCUGCCUUAGCUGAAGGAAGCCAGGGUGCACGCUGGUAACCCCUCUGCAUGUGUCUGCCUAACUGACCUCUUCCUUUCUGUUCCAUCCUGGGUUCCGCCCUCCAGAGCUGGACUGGAGCAGUUCUGCUGACCUGUUUGUGCUUCUGAGCUUUCUGGAGAAGCAAAGUCCAUUUAGGUGUGGCCAUAGGCUUAUCUCUUUAGCUGCAGGCUGGGGUGACUUUUCUUGAAGCUGUGUGAACCUCUAGGCUGUUAGCAGGCUCUUGAUUUUGCCCUCAGGCCUGGCCAGGCUCACAUUUUCUUUGCCACAGUCUCCCUGGCCUGUCCUGCUCGCUUGUGUCUCCUGUCUCAAUGCGCACAAUCUCUUCUCUAGCAAGGCCUUAGCUUUCUAGUCUGGCUUUCUCUGUUGAACCUCAUCUCUCUUUACAAGACUCAUCAUGUAACCUUCUAGACACAGGUUAGCAUGCCCUUUCCUGUCAUUUUUUACCUCUUGAGCCCUGGGACUUGAUAAAUGUGAAACAAACUUCCUCUCAUGUCAUAUCCCAGGGCCUCUAUGCAAUAAAUUUUAUAACUUUAAUAGAUUUUGGAAAUUCAACUCAGUUAUUUUAAAGGUCAUCUCUGUGGAGUUUUAUUAAUUAAAUUUCUUUUAAAGUUUUUUGAAAAGUUAAUAUUUCUGUUUCAAAAUUUCUCCCUCUAUAUGCAACUUUCUAAGUAUCGGGACCCCCUGAAUUUAUUAACCUAUCUCUCUAAAAAUCUAUUGCUUUUCUUAAAGAGUAUUGUGCUAUGUAUAUCUAAAGUGAAAUGGUUUUUAUAAAAAGCACUCAGAAUAUUUUUAAAUGUACAUUUUGGACUUUAAGCUGGGAUGCGUCAAAUCUUUUUGCACUUAAAAGUAAUUAUAGUUCUAAUUUUUAAAAGAGGUAAACUCUAGGGCUGGCCCCGUGGCCGAGUGGUUAAGUUCGCGUGCUCCGCUGCAGGCGGCCCAGUGUUUCGUCGGUUCAAAUCCUGGGCGCGGACAUGGCACUGCUCGUCAGACCACGCUGAGGCAGCAUCCCACAUGCCACAACUAGAGGAACCCACAACGAAGAAUACACAACUAUGUACCGGGGGGCUUUGGGGAGAAAAAGGAAAAAAUAAAAUCUUUAAAAAAAAAAAAAAAGAGGUAAACUCUAAUAAUUAUGUCCCUGUGUGCAUUAGUAAAAAUGGGUAUUUCUAUUCUUAUGGAGCAAAGGUUCACUGGAAUUGCCUCUUCGCCCAGCAUUCUGGCUUGGUUGGAGGGCGUGAGGAAGGAUUAGGGUCCCGGGGAAGAGUCUAGCCUUCACUGUUUCACAAAUGCAGGCUUAAUGGGCCGGUUAGAGGAAGAAUCAGCGUUUGCCUUGAAUCCGGCUUAGGUCAAGUUUUGGGACUUACAGUGACUUCUUGGAACUUAGGGCAACUCACUGACCAUUCUUGGACCUUUUUUCCCCAGUUGUAAAUUCCCUUGUGGCUUAAUUAUAUAUGAAAAUGUAAACAUACAAGAGUCACUAAGCAGCCUAUGACGAGAUCAAAUUGCCUGUGAAUUCUCGACUGGCCUUUUGUUAGAUUACACAUUAGUAUUUCCUGGUAGUGGACGAUGAAGUAGGUGUUCAUAACCUUUUGAGACUCGAACAGAAAAGCGUUGGCAUAAAAUCCAGUAUUCAUUGGCUUUGAAGGGGACCCACGUGGACAGCCUCUUCCUUCUCGUCCCUACUCCUGACUUAGAAAAGCAGGUGCCUUCACAGUGAUCUUCGAGUCUUUGUGGAAUCCCAUAGCUGCACUCUUUGCUUCACCUUAAUCUAUGGCUUUUAAUGAUUUAUGCAUCACCGGAGCCUAUUAUGAGAGUCUUUUCUUCUUAAAAAAUUAAGAACAAAAGGGAAUACAGUUCAGAGGUAUCAUCUUUUUUCUUUCUCUCUAUUUGUAUUCCUCCCACUAUUUCCAUUAAGAUGAUUUUUAAAAAUUUAUACAAGCACUCCAUGUUCACUGUGGAAAAAUUAGAAAAUAUAGAAUAGCAAAAGAAAAAAAAUUUACCCCCAAUUCCACCAUGUGGAGGUGACGAAUUGAGUUUACAGCAAUGUUCUGUUGGGAUGCACACCAGCCUCUGUGAACACUUCCCGGGGCUGCUGUCUACGUGGGUCGCUGUAUAAAACUUACUCUCACCAGAACCAGGGAGACAAACUGUUCCUGAGACUAAGUAUAGAAGGAGAAUGCGAAAGUGGUAACACCACAGUGUGAUGCGCAACUGGUGCCAAGGAAAGAUGGCACUGGAUGCGUGUUUGCCAUCCUGUGGACCCACUCGGCUUUGUGAGGACAGAGGAGGUCCCCGCAGGGCAGUAGACAGUUUGGCUCAAACAGAUUCGAACUGCAGAAGGACAAACUGAAGAGUAUGGGAUUACGGUGGGGUGGCUUAGUGCUUUUUUCUUUAAAAAGUCUUUGAAUUCUUUUAAGUGUCUGGCCUCAUGAUGAAAGGAACAUUUUUUGAAAUAACUCUGAGCUCUACUACUACUUGUUAAAUUAGCAAAAAGUUAGUUACAAUGGCAAAAUCCAACGCGAAUGGAGGUGUGGGAAAAUAGAUAUAUUCAUAUGUUGCUAGGUGAUAUUUAAAUGGUUCCAGUGAUUCUGGAGUGUACUUUGUCUGAUUAUGAUAAGAGCAAUAAAACUAAUUUUGUGCCCUUUUACUCAGUUAUCACUGAUAUUAUGGGAUAUAGCUUGAGAAAAUAAUCAAAAAAAAGAAAGCAAUUUAUAUAAAGACAGUUAUAGUUUGUUGACCUUUUUAGGUUUUUUUGGAAGGUUAGCCCUGAGCUAACAUCUGCCACCAAUCCUCCUCUUUUUUGCUGAGGAAGACUGGCCCGGGCUAACAUCCAUGCCCAUUGUCUUCUGCUUUAUAUGUAGGAUGCCUGCCACAGCAUGGCUUGACGAGCAGUGUGUAGGUCCGCACCUGGGAUCCGAACCGGUGAAUCCCAGGCCACCAAAGAGGAAUGUGCCACUGGGCUGUCCCACGGGGCCUGCCCCGAAACAAGACAGUUAUAGUUUAAAUUAUAGGUAAUCAUGAAAAGCAUAGUCAAGAGACUCACCUUCUAUUUUAUCAUCAUCAGAAAUGUGUUGUAUCCACUCAGGAGAGCUCUUCUAAGUAUCGAAGUUGUUGACUGGUGGCUGAGCCUACAGCUGUAGGAGAGAAGUCCCUUCUGUUGGAGUGGAAGCCUCUUUUGUGAAGUGGAUUGUAUGGGUAGACCAUACAAUCAGUGACUUUCUGUACAGAAUAAGCUGCUUGUGGAUUUCCUUUAUUCCAGCCAAAUUUCCUAAUAUAUACAGUAAUGUUGGUUGGGAAGAUAAUGGAAUACAAAAUUACAGGAAUCUAAGAGGACAUCUUGUUAAGCUCACUAGCUGAGACAGGUACAUGCUCUAAGUACAUAGGUGGACGCCUGGUCAUCGCUUGAUCAAUUAAUUACCUCUUGGGGCAAUUUGUUAGAAGCUCCAUUAUUUAGAAAGUUCUUCCUAUGUUAAAACAAAGUCAACCUACUUGCUAUUUCUGCCUGUUAAUUCCAUUUCAGCCUUCUGAGGACUUAUAGAAUAAACCUGGUUUCCCUCUAAGUCCUCUUUUUCUCCCCAGGCUGAAAAGCCUUAGCUCUUUCAGACUCUCCUCAGAUGUUCAACACAUGGUUAUUUUUCUUUGGAAGUGUUCCAGGUUGUUGAUGUUCUCCUUAAAGCACUGCGGAAGAAAUGACAAUACCCUGGGUGCAGUAACAUCGCAAUGGAGGCCUACAGGAUAGUUCAUUCUUGACAACCUACUUUUGUGAAUAUUAAGACCUCAUUAGCUUUUAUCCGUGCCAUUUACCCAUAUUGCAUGUGUAUACAACUAAAACUCCUUAGUAUUUUCAUUUCUGUGGCUGUUCGAGUUCUUCUCCUCUAUCCGACAGAAUUGCUUAUUUGAAUCUGAGUACAGUUCUUCAUUUAUUUGUAUAUGUAUAAUCUUUUUGAUGAAGAGUAAUUUAGAUACAGUAACAAGCAUUAAUCUGAAUUUUUGCAUAUAUAAGUGUCCAUCUAAUUACCAUCUAGAUCAACAUAGAAUUUUCCCAGCAACCCAGAAGGUUCUCUCACGCCCCCUCAUAGUCAGCAGCUCCCCAAAUGCAACCACCAUUCUGACCUCUCUUACCAUAGAUUAAUUGUGCCUGUUUGAACUUUGUAUAAUUGAAAUCAUGCAAUUCCAAUUCUCACAUUGGUGUCCAUGAGAUUUAUUUAUAUUGUUGACAGAGGCAGAAGCUCAUUUUUUUUUUUUUUUUUGCUAUGUAGCAUUCCAUGGUAUGAAUUAUACCACAAUUUAUUUGUCUAUGUAAUGGUUUGGCUAUUUUGAAUAAAGCUACCAUAACAAUUCUGGUACAUGUCUUUUGGAAGAUAUAAGUACUCAUAUUUGUUGGUGACAUACUCAGGAGUAGAAUUAUUGGGUCAUGGGGUAUAUACAUGUUUUGCUUAGUACAUACUGCUGAUUUUCCAAAGUUGUUGUUUCAGUUUAUAUUCUCACCAGUGAUGUAUAGAGUUCCAGUUCUCCAUAUCUUCUCCAGUACCAGUUAUCAUUGUCUUUCUAAUUUUAGUCAUUUUAAAGAGAUAUAUGGUGUUAACUCAUUGUUGUUUUAAUUUGUGUUUUCCUGAUUAUCUACAUAAUUUUGAAGUAGAAUUAAUUGCAUGAUUUGGCUGUAUUAAUUCAUCUUGGAUAGCCACUUUGUUAUCCCAUGAAUUCACAAUUCCACCUAGCUUCUUGUGACCUACUCAUUUUAUUAAUAUCCCCCAUGGGGAUGUAGACAGAAUGUAGUAUCAAGCCCCUCUAAGUUGAUAUCAAUGUUUUGAUUGGCAUCCUUGGGUAGGUCAUUCAACCAGUUAUGAAAUCAGCCUAACUGUAUGACUAUCACCUUUCACCAUGCUCUCAAUAAAGUUAUCUAGGAAUGUUGAAAUUCAGAUCCUCCCUUGCCUAUAGUAUUCUGAUCUAUCAAUUUAGUUGGUACUCCUAUCAAAAAAUGAAGUUUAAGUUGGUAUUCUUUGUAAAUCCAGAAUGCCUCCUAUUAGUCAUUUACUCCCUCUUAUGAGCUCACCAAUUAUCCUUUUGAUAACCUGUUCUAACGUUUUUCCUAAAGAUACAUCUUCCAUUUUAUAAAUGUAUGACAGCAUUUGCAACUUCUUACUUGAAACAAAAGUAUGGUUUAGAAUGGUCUCCUUGUUUCAUUCAAUUGCUG